CUCAGAAUUUCUCAGUCCACAACCCACUUUAUGUCACAGAAUUUAGGAGACAAUGUGACUUGUCUGUUGAGUGAGACAAAGAUAAGGCAGUAAGUCUUUGAAAACAGCAAACCAUUUUUGCACUAGCAGAAGCAGACUUCCUCUCUCUCAAGCGUGAAAGAAGCUGAGACAUGAAGUCAAAAAGCAGACAGGGUGAUCUUUCUUGCAGGGAGCCUGAUUCCACAGACAUAUUGGAACGACUCUUCCUGUGGGAGACUGAAUUUCUGGCCUGAUUUCUCCAUCCUUCACUGUAGUUAUGACCUUGAAGAACUUCACACUGCAGGUGGGGUGAUAUUCAUGCUUCUUGAUUCUGGCCUAUGCUACAGCAUUCUGUGCUAGUGGAUGUGAUACAAACAAAAGCUUGAAAUGGUCUUCAAUAAUAAAGUUGCUGUUUUGAACCUUGGACAUUAACUGAUUAGCCUACUGCUCCCAGGAGGGGAAUGAGAAAUACGUGCAGCAGAGGUAACCUAAAGAAGCAG
rnacentral:lncRNA from 1 species